GGAAAUCGAACUAUCCAUAAUCGAUCCCCAUAUUUUCAUAUUUCGACCUCGAAGUCGGGCUUGUCUCCCUUCUUGGAAUCCAUAAGAAUUUAUUUUUGCCUUCGAGAAAGGAGUUGCGACAAGUGCUGAUUUGUACCACCAUGGUUGACAUUGAGCAACAAUCAACAGGUAAGAAACCCCAAUCCCAAUGUUUUCUUCAAAGUUUGUCGGGCAGUAGUUAAAUUUUAUUGUCUAUUCUAUAACAUAUAUGUUUGUUUUUAUAUUACGAUCACG
rnacentral:lncRNA from 1 species